AUUGAACGCUGGCGGCAGGCUUAACACAUGCAAGUCGAACGAGUGGCGGACGGGUGAGUAAUGCUUGGGAAUCUGGCUUAUGGAGGGGGAUAACGACGGGAAACUGUCGCUAAUAGCGCGAACCAUAGGAUGAGCCCAAGUGGGAUUAGGUAGUUGGUGGGGUAAGGGCGUACAAAGCCGACGAUCACUAGCUGGUCUGAGAGGUUGACCGGCCACACCGGGACUGAGACACGGCCCGGACUCCUACGGGAGGCAGCAGUGGGGAAUAUUCGGCAAUGGGUGCAACCUGACCGAGCCAUGCCGCGUGAAUGAAGAAGGCCUUCGGGUUGUAAAGUUCUUUCGGUGACGAGGCGGUAAUCACAGAAGAAGCACCGGCUAACUCCAUGCCAGCCGCCGCGGUAAUAC
rnacentral:rRNA from 1 species